GCCAUAUCACAUUGAAACACUGAUUCUCGUAUGAUCACGAAAGUUAAGCAACAUCAAACCUAGUCAGUACCUAGAUGAGUGACUGCUUGGGAAUACCAGGUGCUGUAAG